UACGUAGGCAGCGAGCGUUGUUUGGAGUUACUGGGCGUAAAGGGUGUGUAGGCGGUUUUCUAAGUUUGGUGUGAAAUCUCCCGGCUCAACCGGGAGGGUGCGCCGAAAACUGGGAGACUAGAGUGCGGGAUGGGAGAGUAGAAUUCCUGGUGUAGCGGUGAAAUGCGCAGAUAUCAGGAAGAACACCCGUGGCUAAGGCGGCUCUCUAGUACGGUACUGACGCUGAGACGCGAAAGCGUGGGGAGCGAACAGG
rnacentral:rRNA from 1 species